GGGUUCGUGGCGCAGCGGUAGCGCGUGUGAUUCCAGCUGGCUGCGUUUCCAACGCCCUAUAUGCUGUAUCCACAAGGUCAUCAGUUCAAAUCUGGUCGAGCUCA